CCAAACUUGGUCAUUUAGAGGAAGUAAAAGUCGUAACAAGGUCUCCGUUGGUGAACCAGCGGAGGGAUCAUUACCGAAUGUUACUAAACAUAAACCCUUGUGAACCUUCUACGUUGCUGCCUUGGCAGGUAAUCCCAGGGCGGGAUUCUAGGCCUCUUUUAGGGGCACUUGCCAGUGGCAGAAAACUUUUCAAACUCUGAAUUACAGUGGCUUCUGAGUGUUAUUUAAAAUAAGUUAAAACUUUCAACAACGGAUCUCUUGGUUCUGGCAUCGAUGAAGAACGCAGC
rnacentral:misc_RNA from 1 species